rnacentral:misc_RNA from 1 species
GAUGAAGAACGUAGCGAAAUGCGAUACGUAAUGUGAAUUGCAGAAUUCAGUGAAUCAUCGAGUCUUUGAACGCACAUUGCGCCCCCUGGUAUUCCGGGGGGCAUGCCUGUCCGAGCGUCAUUACUGCCCUCAAGCACGGCUUGUGUGUUGGGCCUCCGUCCUCCUCCCGGGGGACGGGCCCGAAAGGCAGCGGCGGCACCGCGUCCGGUCCUCGAGCGUAUGGGGCUUCGUCACCCGCUCUUGUAGGCCCGGCCGGCGCUUGCCGACACAUCAAUCUUUUUUCCAGGUUGACCUCGGAUCAGGUAGGGAUACCCGCUGAACUUAAGCAUAUCAAUAAGCGGAGGA